UUCCGGUUGAUCCUGCCGGAGGCCAUUGCUAUCGGAGUCCGAUUUAGCCAUGCUAGUCGCACGGGUUUAGACCCGUGGCAGAUAGCUCAGUAACACGUGGCCAAACUACCCUAUGGACCGGAAUAACCUCGGGAAACUGAGGCUAAUUCCGGAUACAGCUCUCGUGCUGGAGUGCAGAGAGCUGGAAACGCUCCGGCGCCAUAGGAUGUGGCUGCGGCCGAUUAGGUAGACGGUGGGGUAACGGCCCACCGUGCCGAUAAUCGGUACGGGUUGUGAGAGCAAGAGCCCGGAGACGGUAUCUGAGACAAGAUACCGGGCCCUACGGGGCGCAGCAGGCGCGAAACCUUUACACUGCACGACAGUGCGAUAAGGGGACUCCGAGUGCGAGGGCAUAUAGUCCUCGCUUUUCUGUACCGUAGGGAGGUACAGGAACAAGUGCUGGGCAAGACCGGUGCCAGCCGCCGCGGUAAUACCGGCAGCACGAGUGAUGGCCGAUCUUAUUGGGCCUAAAGCGUCCGUAGCUGGCCAGACAAGUCCGUUGGGAAAUCGACGUGCCUAACGCGUCGGCGUCCAGCGGAAACUGUCCGGCUUGGGACCGGAAGACCCGAGGGGUACGUCCGGGGUAGGAGUGAAAUCCCGUAAUCCUGGACGGACCACCGGUGGCGAAAGCGCCUCGGGAAGACGGAUCCGACAGUGAGGGACGAAAGCUGGGGUCUCGAACCGGAUUAGAUACCCGGGUAGUCCCAGCCGUAAACGAUGUCCGCUAGGUGUGGCGCAGGCUACGAGCCUGCGCUGUGCCGUAGGGAAGCCGUGAAGCGGACCGCCUGGGAAGUACGUCUGCAAGGAUGAAACUUAAAGGAAUUGGCGGGGGAGCACUACAACCGGAGGAGCCUGCGGUUUAAUUGGACUCAACGCCGGA
rnacentral:rRNA from 1 species